CACACCCACGUCCUUCCCAAAGGGUCCACACGCAUCACACUUAUCUUCUCACGUGAGACAAUACCAUCCACAAAUUUCUUUUCUUCCCCACUGGAUCCCAUGGCUUUCCUCAUCUCCGGUAGUGGUCAGCGCCGGCCACCGCCGCAGCCCUGGCGCUACUAGUGUCGCCCGGGUUCUUCCUUCUUCCUUCUUUCCCAUCCUCAUCUCUCACAUAGCUUUUUCUUCUUCUCCUUCGUGCCCCCCUUCAUAGCAAAACAAAUCCCUCAUAGAUCCGACGAGGUGUUUCCCAUUGGUUGCGUGGCCGCGCCCGCGACAGCCGCCACGCCAUGAUCUGAGCUCCAUCCCCGGGGGCGGUGCUGCAAUAGUCCUCAUCUGAAGCUGGAACCAAAAGCUGUUGGUGCUGCAAGCCCAGGUUGCUGUGCCAGGGACAACGGCUACGUCGUGGGCGGACGAGAUGCUGGAACUGGCCUCGGUGGGAGCUGCAACCAACGGCAAUUUUUGCUUCAUCCGUGUUUUUGUUUUUUGCUGGAAUCAGCGACUUUUUCUUGCUAGUAUUCGCAAAUUAAGUGUUUUUUGCUGGAACCAAAGGAUUUUUUUGCUACCAUGGUCUCUGAAUUUUGCUGGAUCCAGUACUCCUUUUUUUGGUACCAUUGUUUUGCUUUUUGCUGGAACUAGCAUCAUUUUUGCUACCACUGUCUUUGAGUUUUGCUGGAACCAAAUGAUUUUUGUGCUACCAUUGUCUUAGUUUUUGCUGGAACUAGCACCUAUUUGUGCUACUACCAACUUUGGAUUUUGCUGGAACGUCGUCGAUUUUGCUACAACCGGCAAAUGUUUUUGCUACGUCCAUUCAUGACGAGUUGCGACCCACGGCGACGACGACAACGUUUUUGCUGCAACCGCCGUUGCUUUUUGCUACGACGAACAAGUUUUUUUGCUACAUCUGUUUUAUGGUGCGAUUGGUGCCGUUUGUAUCGCCGAAACUCAUGCAGGCGACGGCGAGGCCAGGGGCGACGCACCGGAGUGCUGCAACCAUGGACCGUCUGCGAUCGGUCAGCGGCGGGAUCUGGAGCACAAACUGAGAGCGGGGGAGGUACCCGGCAAGCACCAUCGCCGGAAACGACGUGCGGCCUCACCGUCGUGAGUAGCGGCGAUCCGACGAGCGUGGGCGAUCCAGUGAACGCCGACGAUCUGGCAAGCUUCGUCCUCUCGUUCCCGUCCUGAACGUUUUCUCCCGAUUUGAGAUGAGGAGGUGGGGAAGAGAGAGUCGUCCGCGCGGGGAAUACGGGAGCGGGACGGGAUUCUUAGAUCUGACGGUUUUUACACUUCACAUCUGACGGCCAGGGUUGGACCGGGUCAAAGUUUGGGCCGGCGGACCGGCGCAGAGUACUCACCUUUGGGGAACGCGCCCCACCAGUUCUCCCUAUCCCCAAUUCCCCUCCCCUCACUCUCUCCACACGGGGGGGUCAACAGGAACCGAAUCCCUAGCCACCGGAAUUCGACGUGAACGGGAGAGUCCACCGCCGACGGGAGAAGCUUCUCCGGUUUGAACAACCACCCACAUCGGGAGCAGAGGGAGCCGCGCGCGUGCCCAGCAAGCGGACCGGCGGGGGAGACCCCGAGCCGCGGGCGCGACGGGGAGAAGAGAGGACGGGGGCGCGCGUGGGCGGCUGGCCAACGGGGAACCAGGGCGUCUCCGCCCAUCUACGAACCGCAGGCAAGACAAAAGUGAAAAACUAGGGGUGCGAGGAGGGCAUCCUUUUUCAGUAUCCCCUGGACUGGCAGCAUUGAGAUGGAGGACUACGCAGAUGAACAUAACGGCGAGGGCGCAGCAAGAACUGACGCAGCGGCCGGGAACAAAGAUGAGGGUUUACAAGUCCGUAGGCGACCAAGGAAGAAGCAGGUUCAGGAAGGAAGAAAUAGAGCAGCGCCCGCAGGGCUUGUAAAGUUAAACAAGAGUUUUGAGCAGGAUCAAAAGGAUCUCACCAAAACAUACCAUCUGGGGAGCAAUACUGAAGAUUGAGGCACAUCGAUGCCUGCGGACCUGAGCCGGUGGGUGAUGCAGAGUUACGAUCCAGACAGCGAGUGUAUUGUAGUCCAAGGCAGGGGCGAGAUUCCCGUAACAGCCGAAAGCGUCCACCAUACUUUGGGUCUACGCAACUCUGGGGAAGACGUGUUCUAUGGCUGGGAUUCAGAAGCUAUAUCAUUCAUAAACAGCAGGUACGGGUUUGAGAAUGGAAGUGCCCCCGAGAUAACAACCGUCUACAACAUGAUUGGAAAGAUGGUGAGGAGAGCAGACGAUGAUUUCAUGCGGGCAUGGUUGAUAGUUGUAGUGAGCACUUUCAUGUGCCCCACAACGAGCCUUCAUGUCAGUCCUUGAUGCUACCCAAUAGUCGCCGAUUUGGAGAAAGUAGAGGCUCAACUUCUGCGCAUUCACAGCAAAUCAGAUUAAAGCUUCAUUAGCGAACCGGCGAAGUAAGAAGUAUGCAGUAAACUGCUGCGUGCACCACAUGGUGAUAGAAGAUUUGGUAAGUAUCCAGACAGAAGAUUGGAAACUACUGAAAUCAAGUGCCCAAAGCAAGAUAACAG